rnacentral:rRNA from 1 species
CCUACGGGUGGCAGCAGUGGGGGAUAUUACACAAUGGGGGGAACCCUGAUGCAGCGACGCCGCGUGGGUGAAGGAGUGCUUCGGCAUGUAAAGCUCUAUCGGCAGGGAAGAAGCAAGACGGUACCUGACUAAGAAGCCCCGGCUAACUACGUGCCAGCAGCCGCGGUAAUACGUAGGGGGCGAGCGUUAUCCGGAUUCACUGGGUGUAAAGGGAGCGUAGACGGCCAUGCAAGCCAGGGGUGAAAGCCCGGGGCCCAACCCCGGGACUGCCCUUGGAACUGGGCGGCUAGAGUGCGGGAGGGGCAGGCGGAAUUCCUGGUGUAGCGGUGAAAUGCGUAGAUAUCAGGAGGAACACCGGCGGCGAAGGCGGCCUGCUGGACCGCGACUGACGUUGAGGCUCGAAAGCGUGGGGAGCGAACAGGAUUAGAUACCCCUGUAGUC